rnacentral:rRNA from 1 species
GACGAACGCUGGCGGCGUGCCUAAUACAUGCAAGUCGACCAUAGUGGCGUACGGGUGAGUAAAACGGGGGUUACCUGCCGAACAGAAGGGGAUAACACUUGGAAACAGGCGCUAAUACCGUAUACUGACGGAUGGACCGGGGGUUCAUUAGCUAGUUGGUGAGGUAACGGUUCACCAGGGCCACGAGGCAUAGCCGCCUUGCGUGGGUGAUCGGCAACAUUGGGACUGAGACACGGCCCAAACUCCUACGGUCGUCAGCAGUAGGGAAUCUUCGGCAAUUGACGAAAGGCUGACCGAGCAACGCAGCGUGAGUGAAGAAGGUUUUCGGAUCGUAAAACUCUGUUGUUAGAGAAGCGGUAUCUAACCAGAAAGCCACGGCUAACUACGUGCCAGCAGCCGCGGUAAUAC